AACGAACGCUGGCGGCAUGCCUAACACAUGCAAGUCGAACGGGACCUUCGGGCUUAGUGGCGCACGGGUGCGUAACGCGUGGGAACCUGCCCUUAAGUUCGCAAUACCUCCCCGUAAGGGGUGCUAAUACCGGAUAAUGUAAUCCGACCUAAGAUCUACCGCCAUGGGGUGGGCGUGCGUUGGAUUAGCGGGUUGGUAGGGUAAAAGCCUACCAACGCGUCGUUCCAUAGCUGGUCGGAGAGGAUGCUCAGCCACACUGGGGAUAAGACACGGCCCAGAAUGGUACGCAAGGGUGGAGAGGGGAAUACAGGGCGAGGGGGGAUGACCUGAUACAGCAGUGUCGGGUGAGAGAUGAAGGGCGUAGGGUAGUGCAGCUGUUUGACACGGGGCGAUAAUGACGGUACCGGGAGAAUAAGCACCGGCUAACUACGUG
rnacentral:rRNA from 1 species